AUUUUUCCCCCUCCUUGCUAUCCUUCCAAGCAAAGCAUCUUUCUGUCAUCUUGGUAGACACAUACCUGUCUACUCAUGGUUAAGAAGAGCACUUUAAGCCUUAGUCAUCACUUAAUAAGUUAUUCCAGGCACAGUAAAAAGUUCAAGGUUCUUGGAAAACGGUGCUUAUUUCUCUUCUUAUAAGCCAGAUGUCUGAAGAUAGCCCUAACCCCAAGAACGGGCUUGAUGUCUCAGGUCUGUUCUGUGGCUUUCUGUUUUUUUUAACACUGCAGUUGGCCAUCAGCACAUGGGAGGUUUCAUCGGGACUUGUCCAGAGUAGUAGGCUCAAAUAUACUAUCUCCUUUCUAAUAUUCUUAAAGGCUAAGGAGUCCUUUCAAUAUAACAGUAAGAUAACUUGUGAUGUUUUAGAAGUAAGCAGACCAUUAAUGUCAAUGUGGAGUCUUAAUGUUACAUGAAGUUGAUAGUUUCUCUGUGACCCAUUUAAAAAUACAAACCGAGUAGCAUGCAAUUAUGUAAAGAAAUAUGAAGAUUAUAUGUAGUCACACAUUUUCUUUAGAAUUCUUAGUUUGGUGAAAACUUGAAUAUAAAGGUAUUUUGAUUUAUAUGACAUUUUGAUGAUAUUUGAAAAAAAGGAAUUUCCUGACAUUUUGCUUUUAGAUCAUGUCCCCCAUUGUGCUGUAAUUUAAGCCAACUUGGUUCAGUGAAUGCCAUCACCAUUUCCAUUGAGAAUUUAAAACUCACCAGUGUUUAACAUGCAGGCUUCUGAGGGCUCCCGGAGAAUCAGACCUUAAGCCCAGUUGAUUUACUUCUAACGUGAAACUUCGAGUUCCUGUAUACUUUGCUAGAUAAUUUGUGGUACAUCUAAAGCUUAGUCUUAAGUGGCUUGUGUGUGGAUUUUAUUCAACAUUCUUGUUGCUAGGGUAGAGAGAAAUGUUGCUGAGUAGAAACAAGAGUACCCAGUUCAAUGUGGUACAGAGAGCAGUCCCUAAAAUCUGUACACAGUGUAAUGGACCACUUUAGGAGUCAAGAGGCUGAUUUUUCCUAUGAAAUUACAUUGCAACAGGAAGCCUUCUAGUAUAGUUCCUUUUACUGUUAGAAUAUGUUUUUAUGCAUACGCUAUAGCUGCUUUCCCAUCUUCCAACAACAGGUAUCAGGAUGUAAGCAAGCUUUAAACAGUGUGAAGAUGGCAGGAUAGUGUCAUCGGUAACAGUCCUCUGACUCUAAAUGUAGUUGCUCUGUAACACUUUGUGAAUAUAACAUCACAAUUCUCAUGUCCUUGGGGGGGGGGGGCAUACCCAGUAUUAGUAUGUUUUAGUGACUAAGCAAUCAUUUUUCUGUUUACUCAUGUACAUUUUCUCUUUAAAACUAAAACCUGUACUGUGUAUGUCUCCAAAGCCUUUUAGCUUAGUUUUUAGGAAAUGAACACUGAAUGGAUCACUUUUUAGUGUAGCAGGUAUGGGAUAUGUGCAUUAUAGAGAGACCUUGUCAGCUCUCUGGGCCUAUUUGAAUGUUUAUUGUUGGUGUGAGGAUGGUAGGGGAAUCAGUAAAUACAAGUUACGUUGGUUUAGCAGAGCAAGCUCAGUGUGGGUAUUUCUCUUUGAAGCGUGGUGCGUGACGCACUGUGAGUAGAGAAUUUGGUCACCCUUUGAGUCCUCUUGCAUUUUGCAAACUUGCUCAGCAAAUGCGUACCUACCUUGCCCCCUAGGUAAAAGCAGGAACUACUACUGAUUUAUCUGUCACUCAGCUGUCUUUAUAUGUGUGCUUCUGUGACUUGUAUCACACAAGAAUCUUAAAGAUUUCACAAAUUGUUACCUUUUAGCUCUGAAUGUUGAGUAUUCUGGUGGGCUAACAACAAGACAAACUCUUGACAGUCAUUUGAGAAUUUUCAUGAAACAUUUAGCUGAAAACAUUUUAUAAUUUAUGAAAAAAAUGUGUUACCUUAAACUUUUACAUAUGUGGGAGACAUUAACUGCCAUAUUUGAGCAUACUGAAUUUUAAAUUUAAAAUAAAGCUGCAUAUUUUUAAAUGAAAUGUUUAACAAGGAUUCAUAUUUUUUGUUUUUUAAGAUUAAAAAUAAUUUAUGUCUUCUCAUGUGGAACCUCAUCUGUCACAAUGGUUAGAUUAUACAGAAUGGAGCAAGGCUUGUAGUGGUUUAGCUUACAGUAAAAUUCUUAAUGUUUAGAUGUGUUUACUUACUGGCUGUUAUGUAUACUUUUGAGAUUUUCCACCUGUUCUGUGUAGUUUUCUAAAUGAUACUCCU
rnacentral:lncRNA from 1 species